CGGGGUAGGAGGUAACGACGUGAGGGAAACCCGCCUCCAAAAGGGGGACAACAGUUGGAAACGACUGCUAAUACCGCAUAAGCCCACGGCUCGGCAUCGAGCAGAGGGAAAAGGAGUGAUCCGCUUUGAGAUGGCCUCGCGUCCGAUUAGCUAGUUGGUGAGGUAACGGCCCACCAAGGCAACGAUCGGUAGCCGGACUGAGAGGUUGAACGGCCACAUUGGGACUGAGACACGGCCCAG
rnacentral:rRNA from 1 species